GUUUUCGUAUGUGAGGUAAUCUUUCUUAUGCUGGGAGUGAAGACAGUGCGUAUGACCGCUUGAUAUGAAAGACACAUCCUGUUUUUAAAGGUGGAUCAUGAGUGAAGCUCUGCGGGUCUGCCAUUGGCUUGAUAACAGUGGUUUAUGUGAAUUGAGUGAAUUCAAUUUAUAAAUAAAUCUUUCACCAAGCAUUCACCUAUUUACGGACAAAACAGAUCCAAAUCUUGUUCAGCCUGAUGCUCAACCUUGUAUGAUGAUGACCACGGCCAGGUGAUGGAGAGCUGUGUUAAUCACAGCCUGCGUCUUAAGAUCAACAUGACAAUAGCAGACCAUCUCUUAUCUUACUCUUAUCUGACUAAAUGUUCAGCAUCAUUGCAACAAAACAAAGAACAUUGGAUGGAGUAUUGGAUGAUCCCGUAAAGUAAAUAAUAUGGACUUUUUUGGUGAGAUUCUACAAAGAUUGACACAAUCCUAUUGACUUUUAUUUUUACAGUUAAUAAUGCAUUAUAAACAUCCCAUUCAUUUGUAUUCUAUGUCAUCGAUCUGUUUGUGCUAAAAUGUAUACAUCUGAAUGUAAUGUCAAUAAUAUGUUAAUAUUCAGGAUUUAUUAUC